rnacentral:tRNA from 1 species
CGAUUCCAUAGUUCAGCUGGUCAGAAUGCCCGCCUGUCACGCGGGAGGUCACGGGUUCAAGUCCCGUUGGAAUCGCCAC